UUUAUAUAUAUAUAUAUAUAUAUAACUUACACACUACAUAUUCUGCAAAAUUGCUAUCUGCCCUCCUCCACUAUAAAGACUUUCUAAACACACAAAAGAGAAACUAUAAAUACAUGACACAAGACAGUCUCAAUUAAAUAUAAUACAAAUUCUUUCUCAAUAUAUCAUGGAAAUUUGUUGACUCUCUACAAUGAAGACAUCACGUGGAACCACUGGAAAGACAUAAUUGUAAUGAGAACCGGAUUUUGAAUGGAAAAGAAAAACAAAUCUAGCAAUGGUGCAGGUGUGGCUGUGUGGUAAGAAGUUUGCUUCCCAAUCACAUGGUUAGAGGUUCAAUCCCACUGCAUGGCACCUUGUGUAAAGUGUCUUUCUACGAUAGCCUUGGGACAACCAAAGCAUUGUGAGUGGAUGAUUUGGGAGACGGAAACUGAAAGAAGCUUGUCGUAUGUAUGUGUGUACCCCGCCACCAGCAAACAAUCAGUGUUGGUGUGUUUAUAUCCAUGUGACUUAGCAGUUCAGCAAAAGAGACCAAUAGAAUAAGUACUAGGUUUUUAAAAAAAUAAAGUCUUGGGGGUCAAUUUUCUUCAUCUAAAACCCUCCAAAACAGUGUUCCAGCCUGGCCACAGUCAGAUGACCAAAAAGAUAAAAGAUAACAAAUUAUUGGAGUAAUCUUCCAUAGAUACAGUCCAGAGGAUUGGGUUUUAAGGUAAACAUAGACACAUCGAAGAAGCUCUAACUUUUACAAAUAAAAUAAAACCUAUUAUUAAAUCUGAACUACUUUAGAGCUACAAAAAAGCUACAAGGGGUAGAUAGAAUGCAUGGACCAUGAAUAGAAUAAUAAAGGACCAAUAUCAAAAGGUAUUGAGAGGAAGAUAAAGGAAAUGGGGAAAGAGGGCCCAGUAGAGCUGUUGCAAAAAGUUUGCUUCUUUGGCACGACCAGAAUUAUCAGGAAAGUCAUGGCACUCUGUCGGUUAUGACGAUGAGGGUUCCAGCUGAUCUGAUUAACAGAACAGCUUGCUCAUGAAAUUAAUGUGCAAGUGGCUGAGCGCUCCACAGACACGUGUACCCUCAAUGUAGUUCUUGGGGAGAUUCUGUGUGACACAGAAAUGUGACACGGCUGGCCCCUUUGAGAUACAGGUACAACAGAAACAGGAAGAGUGAGAGAAAGUUGUGGUGAAAGAGUACAGCAGGGAUCGCAGCCACCCCGCUGCCAGAGCCUCAUGGAGCUUUAGGCGUUUUUGCUCAACAAACGCAACACCCGGUCUGGGAAUUGAAACCACGAUCCUAUGACUGCGAGUCUACUACCCUGACCACUGGACCAUUGCUCCUCCACUUCAGGAAAUUACUAGAUAGCUGAAAAGAACAAAAAGCAUAAUAAUGUAGGCUGUUGGUAGUAAAACCUUCUGUUCAUGCAAGGUUCCAGGAGUUUUCAACAAAACCCGAGUUAAAACAAUGAUAACAAUACAAUAUUGUUACCAGUUCAAAUAUGCUUGUGGCACGUUUGGACUCAUAAAUAAGCCAUUCGUUGUGUUUUGCCAUGGAGAAAAUUCCUUUUUGUAGACAAAUGGUGUAAAUGCACCCAAUUCAGUUUGCAGUGCCACCUAUUCAGGCUGUGAGUUGCAAGCAUUUCAGAGUGGUUAUUUCCUCUUCAGUAACAGACACUAAGCAUGGGGGGAUGCUGUGAAUUCAUAAAAGAGAUCGUUUCUCUUAUGUUAUUUCAGUCACCGUUUGGUGGCUCACUGUAAGCAAAUUAUGGAGGGGGAGCACUCCCUCACCAUAAUAAUAAUGAUAAUAAUAAUAAUAAUAAUAAUGGCUUCUGAUUUAGGCAAAAGGACAGCAAUUUUUGAAGGAGUGAGUAUAUUCAAUACCCUCAGCCAGCAGUAAAUUGGUUUGUAUUUUAUCUUAUGUCAACCCUUAAUGAAUUAGAAAGAAAGUUGGCCUUGGCAGGAUUUGAACUCAGAAUGCAAAAGAGCUGGCACAAAUACUGUCAAAGCAUUUUCCCAAUGCUAUAACGAUUCUGCCAAUCUACUUGCUAAUAAUAAUAAUAAUAAUAAUCCUUUCUUGCUUUGGCCAAAUGCCAGAACAGUGAUGAUGAUGAUGAUGAUAAUAAUAAUAAUAAUAAUAAUAAUAAUCCUUUCUACUAAAAGCACAAGGACUGAAAUUUAGUGGGAGGGUACUAUUUGAUUACAACGACCCCAGUAUCUCACUGGUACUUAUUUUAGCGAUGCCGGAAGGAUGGAAGUUCAGCCUCUAGUGGGAAUUGAACUCAGAACAUAACAAUGAACAAAAUGCUUUUUAAACAUUUUGCCUGGGGUGGGAAUGAUUCAGCCAACCCACCACCUUCACAAUAAUAAUAAUAAUAAAAACAAAUAAUAAUGGUAAUAAUAAUAAUAAUCAUAAUGAUGAUGAUGGUUUUGAAAUUUUGACACAAGGUUAGCUGUUUUGUGGGAGGGUUAAGUCAAUGAUAUCGACCCCAGAAGCUCAACUGGUACUUAAUUCAUCGACCCCCCGAAGGGAUGAAAGGCAAGGUCAACCUCGAACGACAACAGUGCUCUUUGGAUUUUUGUAUAUGACAGAGCAAAGAGAAAAUAUUAGCACACACAUAGUUAUGUGCUGUGACAUUAGAGCACGAUGUUAUGUUUGUGUGUGUGGGGUUUGGUUUUUUGGGGUUUAUAAAACAUGGUUGGUUAAGCAUUUUGAUACAAAAGAAAAUAUUAAAGGAUUUGGUAUUGGUUAUUGAGAUAUUUGUAGAGUCUUGCAGAUGUCUACAUUCAACAUACACUCACAAAUGUACAUGUCUGUGUGUGUGUGAGAGCUUUUGUAAGGGAAAGGCCGACAGUGGCUUCACAGAAUCAACUUACUUGCUGCCAUCACACAGCGAUAAUGGCAAGCAAGCCAAAACAUCAAGUCACUAUUGUUAAUCAUUUGGUUUAAUGUUACACUCUUUUUAUAUAUGAUUUGACAUAAAAAUAAAAAUAUUUAUACAUACACACACACACACACAUAUAUAUAUGUACACUUUUAUUAAAGCUGCAAAAGUUACUCAGAGUUUCACAUUCCCGUUUGUCGGAAAGUUGAGUUGAAUAUUCAUUACAACUGUCUGAUAAAUGGGUAUGUAAAACUCUGAGUAACAGUUUCCGGCUUCUGCUGCAUAGUUUCUAGAGAGCCAAUGAGAGAGCUUGUACUAAAUAGUUGCCAUGAACAAAUGAGAAUACUUCUACAUGGCCACCGUGAACCAAUGAGAGGGCUGCUACACACACACUUAUAACCAAUGAGAGUGCCUCUACCAGAGAUUCUCUAAGGAGGACCAAUGAGAGAUUUUCCCAUAGUCAUGUGAAGUAGUAUAGAUGCCCAAGCGCCAAUGAGAAGACUUGAAUACAUUGUCACCAAAAGCAACCAAUGAGAGAGUGACAAUAUAGAUCACAUGAUCUACUAAAUGCAGCAAUGUAUAAAUUCUUGUCUCUGCCCCGCCCCACACUCUGUACUUGGUUCUUGAACAUUUAAGAGAACAUUUUCUUUUUUCACCAAGUCCUUGUUAUGCUGAACUGGAAUGUCCCAAACUCUUCCUAUUGGUGACAUUUAAAAAGAAUAGCAUUUUCCAUGACACAUUAGUAGUACUGGAGCCAUAAAAAAAAA
rnacentral:lncRNA from 1 species